rnacentral:rRNA from 1 species
UACGUAGGGGCAAGCGUUGUCCGGAUUUAUUGGGCGUAAAGAGCGUGUAGGCGGCCAGGUAGGUCUGCUGUGAAACUCGAGGCUUAACCUCGAGCUGUCGGCGGAAACCAUCUGGCUAGAGUCCGGAAGAGGAGAAUGGAAUUCCCGGUGUAGCGGUGAAAUGCGCAGAUAUCGGGAAGAACACCCGUGGCGAAGGCGGU